rnacentral:sRNA from 1 species
AAGGAUGCUGCGCAGGACGCGCAUGUAAGUCACAGGGAUAUGUAGGAGUUCCGCCAGGAUGGCGGUUAGAUCACGGAUGUCAGGAUACAAAACAAAACCCCGCCUCGGCGGGGUUUU